GGCGGAAGCGGCGGGAGCGGGCGGAGCGAGCGGAGCGAGCGGAACCAUGUCGGGCCGGGAGGGCGGCAAGAAGAAGCCGCUGAAGCAGCCGAAGAAGCAGACGAAGGACCUGGAUGAGACUGAUCUGGCAUUCAAACAGAAACAGAAAGAGGAGCAAAAGAAACUUGAGGAGAUGAAAGCAAAAGCUGCUGGAAAAGGGCCCCUGGCCAGUGGUGGAAUAAAGAAGUCUGGCAAAAAGUAGCUUGAUCAAACUGCAGGGUAAGAAGUGAUCAAGUUCCCCAAUGGACCUGCAAACUUCAGAGUCUUGAAAACACUCUGUCAUUUGGGAAACAUUGUACAUUUUGUUUAGUCAGAAUAAAUCUUUUUUGUUAAGAUGUGA